rnacentral:rRNA from 1 species
AUGGAAUUCUAUUCAGUGUAUGACGUGCCGAUCGACCAGCUGCUCGGAGUACCACCUGACGAGAGCGAUCUCCACGAAUGUUGGGAAGGUUUUGGGUCCAAUGGAGGCCAACUUGUAGCUCCCUAUUGUCUUUCUACCCACGACGAGACGCCAGACACCACGCCGCCGGAGACGGAGAGCGCCGCUCAUACAGCGGAUGGACCAGAGAGCGGCUGGAGGCGCAAGAGAGGCCCUCGCAAGAGAAGGGUGCCGUUGUGCACAGACCAAUCUUGGCAUCUGGGUAACCAUUUUGGGGAAACAUCACAUAGAACCAACAAUAGCCACUGGACACCUGAAGAGGUAGCUAUGCUGGUGGAUGGCGUCGAAGAUUGCGGGGUGGCACGGUGGUCUGUGAUGAAGAAGAAAUGGUUUCCAACGUCGGUCCGAACCGUGGGCAAUCUCAAGGAUAAGUGGAGAAAUCUCCUGGAAUCAUACACGGUAAGACAUGCCACUUCAAAGAUAACUAAAUUGUGGAGCACCACUGAUUUUUAUUUCUUGCAUUUUAUCAAAUUGCAGGGAAAUGCCGAAAGAAGCUGCUAUCUGCAUCUUGACAAGAAGUUGAUCGAACGGAUCCAAAAGGCAGCAUUCAACAACCCGUAUCCAAAACCAAGGUGCACCGACGAAUGGUGA